AUCUACGUGACGAAUUCAUCGGUUAUCCAUCAUUGGUUUGGGAAAACGUUGUCACAUAUAAAUAUUUCUUGAAAAUCGUUGUUAACUUAUUUAUUCUCGAGUGCGGUGACUAUCUUAUGAUCGGAUUCGGGGUCGCUCUUCAUAUACAAUUUACUUCAAGACUCGCCGUUUGCUGGAGACGUUUCUACACACGUGGAAGGUUUAGCUUGUAGCCAAAUUCUACUUGUUGUCAACUUGUACGCCACGAGGCGUUAAUAGGAUGUUUAACUAUAAGUUAAAGAGAGCCUACAGGGACGUCGAGUUAUUCAUCCCCGCCGUAUUGGCUGCUGCAGCUGGAUUCGUCGUUGCCGAACUAGGACUGCGAAAUCUGUUUUGCUAUGCGACACAAGGAGAGGCCCAUCAGCAAAGGAACGCUUUCGUUAGAAGCUUUCCUCAUUAUGGUCGCACUUGGCAUCUGAGCGGCGGUAGGGGUGCUUGCUGUUCAUGCGCUCGUAGAGACAACGCGCAAUUUACCCACUAUUAAAGCAGCGUCUAACUAUUGGAAAACCAUGACAGCAAAAACUGAGAAAGGUAUUACUAUCGAAGCCUUUGUCGUCCGUACUACUCAGCGAGGAUAUUAGUCUAGAGUCGAUUUGUGGAUUGUGCUUACGUUCUGUGCAACCAACCAUCUGAGGUAGUUUUUAGAAGUGCUCCGAAGGGAAAUAUAUCCGAAAGCCCUACUUUACCCCUGUGGUAUUACCUCGAAAAUGCGCACGUGCGAACUUAAGUCCGUACCGAGUAUAACAAACGUGCUGUGUCAUUACUGAUGUGGCACGUUUGUGGUGAAGUUAAUGGAAGCCCGUCAUCAAGCGAGUGUAACUACUAACUUUAUGUAUUUAGCUUCGUUUAGAUUUACUACCCCCAAGGAGCCGGGCCCUACCUAAUAAUGGUCAGUGUUUUCGCAUCGUGUAACACCUUUAAUCUGGUCACCUAACCAGUGGUUGCACUUUGAACGAUCCUGGCGCCCUCGCACUUCUGUCCAUUAUCGUUAUAUAUACUCGAUGCCUUCCCUUUGUGGAGCCAUUAUGGUCUAAGUCUGGCGAUUUCGUACUAUAUAUGGCUCAUUGACCACGCCUUUAUACUUCGACACGAGUCCUUCGCGCAAGACCCCCUUCGAUUCCUCGCCACGUCGAUCACGUAGCUUACGGCCCGAUGGCGUCAUAGUACUAAUGGCUGCCUUACUCUUACUUCCUGCGACGAUCUGGCCCCCAGCAAGCUUGCCUCUGUGGCGAACUGGCUGGUGACUGAUGUAUUCCCGGCACCGCGUGGUCGCUUGGGCCUCGUCGCAUUCACAGGUUCGUUCGGCCACGUGCUUCCUCGCUGGCGCGAACUUAGUUCUCUACAAGCCAUUAAAUAUAUCGAUAAAAUAUAGUAACUUUUUAAAAUAGGCUUCUGCUACGUAAAAAGAGGGAGUACCUUUGGAUAUUUGUCUGGUCUUCAAGCGAUAGUCUGCAAAGCGCCUACAAAUUUAAGUGACAUACAAAGCGUAAGAAUAUAAGAAUAGUGGUCACGAGUCUUACCAAAAUGUUUAGUGAUUAAAGUUCGUCAAAAGUGGAAAGCGUUAAAUGAUUCGCAGAGAGAUGGCUGCCUGACGAGCUAUUGGAUCGCGUCCAUAGGAGCGCGCCGAGAGUAUCUUUCGUACAGUUUUAGCAGGUGACAGCAACGAACAGAUCGGAUUUCGUGACCAUUUACCAACCAAAGAGCGUGCCAAGAACAGGCCAAAGUUGUUUUCUACAAGGCGCAACGGACUCUGCGUUGGGUAGCCUCGCUGAAGAUAUAGCAGCUCGCCUGUCCUAGCUGGUCACUUCUGAAAACCUUGCUACCGAAUACGUAGAAAACGAUAGUCUCAAGCGAAACGGAUCGAUCAGGCGUGAAGGGUAAUUUUAGCGACAUGUGGUGGUCUAGUUUUAAACUAGAUCAUAGACAGAUUACGUUUCGUGCUGGGAGCCAGUCUUCGAUCGAAUGCCUGACGGCGAUAUCGGACAUAAAUAGACAUUUGACGGGUAAACUGAAGGACCAUCGAGAUGUGGAGAACACAGCUGUGGUACCUUUUCCUCAAAGGAGCACGAACUAAGCCAGGGACACGCAACAAUAAAGAUUGAUACUCCGUAUCUCAGUAAGUCAGACAUUUCCACGGGAAGCCGAAAUUUCGGAACCGCUACGAGUAAAUGACACGCUCUUAAAUUAACAAAGGGUACGUUUAAGCAUACUGAUUGAUGUAUUGAUCAGUUUGUUUUUCCGUAGUCGCCUACGAAAUUUCGGGAGGCGUAAUCGUCAAGGUGAAAAUUCGGGCGUUUCCUGCCAAGGGCAAGCCGUCUAAAACUAUAUUUAACGCUCUAAACAGCAGACGUACUACUUAAAACAUUUCAUUAAGGAAUGCAUGAAAGCACUGCACUUCUGGGUUCUCAGUGGCUCAGGCUCAACAAUUUAAAAGCCAAUGAGAAUAAGAAAUGCAAAAGGCGCCUGAAAGUCCCAAAUAUUCAAAGUUCCCGCAUUUAUUAGUUUCACUAUCACAAUAGAAACAAAGUAGCGCAAUGUUACUGAUUUUCAAGCAGGACGCGUAGUAUAAAAUGUGAAUUAUUUUUUCAGUCCUAAAACGUUCAGAUGGAUGACAAAAUAUACCUGCUUUGCUCACUGCUGCGUGACGAAACAAAGUUGGUUUCGA